rnacentral:rRNA from 1 species
GACGAACGCUGGCGGCGUGCCUAAUACAUGCAAGUAGAACGCUGAAGAGAGGAGCUUGCUCUUCUUGGAUGAGUUGCGAACGGGUGAGUAACGCGUAGGUAACCUGCCUGGUAGCGGGGGAUAACUAUUGGAAACGAUAGCUAAUACCGCAUAAAAUUGAUUAUUGCAUGAUAAUUAAUUGAAAGAUGCAAUUGCAUCACCACCAGAUGGACCUGCGUUGUAUUAGCUAGUUGGUGAGGUAACGGCUCACCAAGGCGACGAUACAUAGCCGACCUGAGAGGGUGAUCGGCCACACUGGGACUGAGACACGGCCCAGACUCCUACGGGAGGCAGCAGUAGGGAAUCUUCGGCAAUGGGGGGAACCCUGACCGAGCAACGCCGCGUGAGUGAAGAAGGUUUUCGGAUCGUAAAGCUCUGUUGUAAGAGAAGAACGGGUGUGAGAGUGGAAAGUUCACACUGUGACGGUAUCUUACCAGAAAGGGACGGCUAACUACGUGCCAGCAGCCGCGGUAAUACGUAGGUCCCGAGCGUUGUCCGGAUUUAUUGGGCGUAAAGCGAGCGCAGGCGGUUAGAUAAGUCUGAAGUUAAAGGCUGUGGCUUAACCAUAGUAUGCUUUGGAAACUGUUUAACUUGAGUGCAGAAGGGGAGAGUGGAAUUCCAUGUGUAGCGGUGAAAUGCGUAGAUAUAUGGAGGAACACCGGUGGCGAAAGCGGCUCUCUGGUCUGUAACUGACGCUGAGGCUCGAAAGCGUGGGGAGCAAACAGGAUUAGAUACCCUGGUAGUCCACGCCGUAAACGAUGAGUGCUAGGUGUUAGGCCCUUUCCGGGGCUUAGUGCCGCAGCUAACGCAUUAAGCACUCCGCCUGGGGAGUACGACCGCAAGGUUGAAACUCAAAGGAAUUGACGGGGGCCCGCACAAGCGGUGGAGCAUGUGGUUUAAUUCGAAGCAACGCGAAGAACCUUACCAGGUCUUGACAUCCCUCUGACCGCUCUAGAGAUAGAGUUUUCCUUCGGGACAGAGGUGACAGGUGGUGCAUGGUUGUCGUCAGCUCGUGUCGUGAGAUGUUGGGUCAAGCCCCGCAACGAGCGCAACCCCUAUUGUUAGUUGCCAUCAUUCAGUUGGGCACUCUAGCGAGGCUGCCGGUAAUAAACCGGAGGAAGGUGGGGAUGACGUCAAAUCAUCAUGCCCCUUAUGACCUGGGCUACACACGUGCUACAAUGGCUGGUACAACGAGUCGCAAGCCGGUGACGGCAAGCUAAUCUCUGAAAGCCAGUCUCAGUUCGGAUUGUAGGCUGCAACUCGCCUACAUGAAGUCGGAAUCGCUAGUAAUCGCGGAUCAGCACGCCGCGGUGAAUACGUUCCCGGGCCU